UUUGAACCUGGCUCAGGACGAACGCUGGCGGCGUGCUUAACACAUGCAAGUCGAACGGAAAGGCCCCUUCGGGGGUGCUCGAGUGGCGAACGGGUGAGUAACACGUGGGUGAUCUGCCCUGCACUUCGGGAUAAGCUUGGGAAACUGGGUCUAAUACCGGAUAGGACCAUGGGAUGCAUGUCUUGUGGUGGAAAGCUUUUGCGGUGUGGGAUGGGCCCGCGGCCUAUCAGCUUGUUGGUGGGGUGAUGGCCUACCAAGGCGACGACGGGUAGCCGGCCUGAGAGGGUGUCCGGCCACACUGGGACUGAGAUACGGCCCAGACUCCUACGGGAGGCAGCAGUGGGGAAUAUUGCACAAUGGGCGCAAGCCUGAUGCAGCGACGCCGCGUGGGGGAUGACGGCCUUCGGGUUGUAAACCUCUUUCAGCAGGGACGAAGCGUAAGUGACGGUACCUGCAGAAGAAGCACCGGCCAACUACGUGCCAGCAGCCGCGGUAAUACGUAGGGUGCGAGCGUUGUCCGGAAUUACUGGGCGUAAAGAGCUCGUAGGUGGUUUGUCGCGUUGUUCGUGAAAUUCCAUGGCUUAACUGUGGGCGUGCGGGCGAUACGGGCAGACUGGAGUACUGCAGGGGAGACUGGAAUUCCUGGUGCAGCGGUGGAAUGCGCAGAUAUCAGGAGGAACACCGGUGGCGAAGGCGGGUCUCUGGGCAGUAACUGACGCUGAGGAGCGAAAGCGUGGGGGAGCGAACAGGAUUAGAUACCCUG
rnacentral:rRNA from 1 species